GUCUAUGGCCAUACUACCCUAAAUGCACCCAAUCUCAUCUGGUCUCAGAAGCCAAACAGGGUCAGGCUGGUUAAUACGUGGAUGGGGACAAAUCUUCAGAAGAGACUGCUCAGAGACA
rnacentral:rRNA from 1 species